AUUGAACGCUGGCGGCAGGCCUAACACAUGCAAGUCGAGCGGAUGAAGGGAGCUUGCUCCUGGAUUCAGCGGCGGACGGGUGAGUAAUGCCUAGGAAUCUGCCUGGUAGUGGGGGAUAACGUCCGGAAACGGGCGCUAAUACCGCAUACGUCCUGAGGGAGAAAGUGGGGGAUCUUCGGACCUCACGCUAUCAGAUGAGCCUAGGUCGGAUUAGCUAGUUGGUGGGGUAAAGGCCUACCAAGGCGACGAUCAGUAACUGGUCUGAGAGGAUGAUCAGUCACCCUGGAACUGAGACACGGUCCAGACUCCUACGGGAGGCCGCAGUGGGGAAUAUUGGACGAAGGGCGAAGGCCUGAUCCAGCCAUGCCGCGUGUGUGAAGAAGGUCUUCGGAUUGUAAAGCACUUUAAGUUGGGAGGAAGGGCAGUAAGUUAAUACCUUGCUGUUUUGACGGUACCAACAGAAUAAGCACCGGCUAACUUCGUG
rnacentral:rRNA from 1 species